rnacentral:rRNA from 1 species
GACGAACGCUGGCGGCGUGCUUAACACAUGCAAGUCGAACGGUGAAGCGCCUUCCUUUUUGGUGGGUGUGGAUGAGUGGCGAACGGGUGAGUAACACGUGAGUAACCUGCCCCCUUCUUCUGGAUAACCGCAUGAAAGUGUGGCUAAUACGGGAUAUUCUGGGUCUGUCGCAUGAUGGGUCUGGGAAAGAUAUUGUUUCGGUGGGGGAUGGGCUCGCGGCCUAUCAGCUUGUUGGUGGGGUGAUGGCCUACCAAGGCGGUGACGGGUAGCCGGCCUGAGAGGGUGGACGGUCACACUGGGACUGAGACACGGGCCAGACUCCUACGGGAGGCAGCAGGGGGGAAUAUUGCACAAUGGGCGCAAGCCUGAUGCAGCGACGCCGCGUGAGGGAUGGAGGCCUUCGGGUUGUGAACCUCUUUCGCCAGUGAAGCAGGCCUGCCUCGUUUGUGGGUGGGUUGACGGUAGCUGGAGAAGAAGCGCCGGCUAACUACGUG